CCGGCGACCGGCGCACGGGUGAGUAACGCGUAUCCAACCUGCCCUUUACUAUGGGACAGCCCGUCGAAAGGCGGAUUAAUACCGUAUGUUGUCAUGUUGAUGCAUAUUUUCAUGACCAAAGGCUUCGGCCGGUAAAGGAUGGGGAUGCGUCUGAUUAGCUUGCCGGCGGGGUAACGGCCCACCGGGGCGACGAUCAGUAGGGGUUCUGAGAGGAAGGUCCCCCACAUUGGAACUGAGACACGGUCCAAACUCCUACGGGAGGCAGCAG
rnacentral:rRNA from 1 species